GUGGUUGUUUAAGGAUAAACAAGAAUUAUUCCACAUUAGAUGAACUAAAUAUAAAAGAAUUGAUUAUAUCAGUGUUUUGUUAAAAUGGUAUCUAUCAAAUUAAUUUCACUCUUUUUUAGGAAGCAAAACAGUUUUUAAUGAUGUUUAUUAUAGAAAACAAUAAAUUUACUCUUUGUAAGGUUGAUUACAAGGUGUGUAAAAUAUACAUGCAUUGAAUGUGGUAUACACCUUUUAAACAGAGUUGAUUUAAUUCUAUUUUUAAAAAAGCUCUUGGAUAUCUUUAAGUCGAUAUUAUUAACUUAAUUUUCUAUAUUUAAAUACACCCUUUUACCAUUUUAUACUCCUAAUUUAUCUGAUUUUUUUAAUACCAAACACGUAUUUUUUGAUUUUUAGUGGUAUAUGCUCUUUUAAAAAAACACCAUUGAUAUAUAAUCAAUGGUAUCACAAUAUUUUUGCAUAAACUUUUAUAGUUUCUGCUGUGGAUUCAAUGAAUAGUGUGAAUGCGCACUGCUAUUUCUGAUUGAAAUAUUCUAAUAUCAGUUUAAUAUAAAUUAAAUUUGUCAUCCAAAAUUAAACAGUAAGAUAUUUUAGAUACAAUCAGCAACCAAUAUAAUUCCAUUCACUGUAUAUAAUCUAACAUUAUUAACCUUCUCUCCUUAUAGUAUUAUUUGCAUGAAUUGUA